rnacentral:rRNA from 1 species
UACAGAGGUCUCGAGCGUUAGGCGGAAUCACUGGGCUUAAAGCGUGUGUAGGCGGACUGGUAAGUACCUUGUGAAAUCCCACGGCUCAACCGUGGAACUGCUGGGUAUACUGCUUGUCUUGUGCAACCUAGGGGCGAGCGGAACAGAUGGUGGAGCGGUGAAAUGCGUAGAUAUCAUCUGGAACGCCAAUGGUGAAAACAGCUCGCUGGGGGUUUGCAGACGCUGAGACACGAAAGCGUGGGGAGCGAACAGG